UACGAAGGGGGCUAGCGUUGCUCGGAAUCACUGGGCGUAAAGCGCACGUAGGCGGAUUGUUAAGUCAGGGGUGAAAUCCUGGAGCUCAACUCCAGAACUGCCUUUGAUACUGAGGAGCUUGAGUCCGGGAGAGGUGAGUGGAACUCCGAGUGUAGAGGUGAAAUUCGUAGAUAUUCGGAAGAACACCAGUGGCGAAGGCGGCUCACUGGCCCGGUACUGACGCUGAGGUGCGAAAGCGUGGGGAGCAAACAGG
rnacentral:rRNA from 1 species